GACGAACGCUGGCGGCGCGCCUAACACAUGCAAGUCGAACGAGCGAGAGAGAGCUUGCUUUCUCAAGCGAGUGGCGAACGGGUGAGUAACGCGUGAGGAACCUGCCUCAAAGAGGGGGACAACAGUUGGAAACGACUGCUAAUACCGCAUAAGCCCACGACCCGGCAUCGGGUAGAGGGAAAAGGAGCAAUCCGCUUUGAGAUGGCCUCGCGUCCGAUUAGCUAGUUGGUGAGGUAACGGCCCACCAAGGCGACGAUCGGUAGCCGGACUGAGAGGUUGAACGGCCACAUUGGGACUGAGACACGGCCCAGACUCCUACGGGAGGCAGCAGUGGGGAAUAUUGCACAAUGGGGGAAACCCUGAUGCAGCGACGCCGCGUGGAGGAAGAAGGUCUUCGGAUUGUAAACUCCUGUUGUUUAGGAAGAUAAUGACGGUACUCAACAAGGAAGUGACGGCUAACUACGUG
rnacentral:rRNA from 1 species